AGUGGCGAACGGGUGAGUAACACGCUGGGUGAUCUGCCCUGUACUUCGGGAUAAGCUUGGGAAACUGGGUCUAAUACCGGAUAGGACCAUGGUUUAGUGUCUCAUGGUGGAAAGAUUAUUGUUUUGGUGCAGGAUGAGCUCGCGGCCUAUCAGCUUGUUGGUGGGGUAAUGGCCUACCAAGGCGUCGACGGGUAGCCGGCCUGAGAGGGUGGACGGCCACAUUGGGACUGAGAUACGGCUCAGACUCCUACGGGAGGCAGCAGUGGGGAAUAUUGGACAAUGGUCGGAAGACUGAUCAGCCAUGCCGCGUGCAGGAUGAAGGUCCUAUGGAUUGUAAACUGCUUUUGUAAGGGAAGAAUAAGGAGUACGUGUACUUUGAUGACGGUACCUUACGAAUAAGCAUCGGCUAACUCCGUGCCAGCAGCCGCGGUAAUACGGAGGAUGCGAGCGUUAUCCGGAAUCAUUGGGUUUAAAGGGUCCCUAGGCGGGCUGAUAAGUCAAAGGUGAAAGCGCUUANCUCAACUAAGCAACUGCCUUUGAA
rnacentral:rRNA from 1 species